rnacentral:rRNA from 1 species
GACGAACGCUGGCGGCGUGCUUAACACAUGCAAGUCGAACGGAAAGGCCCUGCUUGCAGGGUACUCGAGUGGCGAACGGGUGAGUAACACGUGGGUGAUCUGCCCUGCACUUCGGGAUAAGCCUGGGAAACUGGGUCUAAUACCGGAUAGGAGCCAUCUUUAGUGUGAUGGUUGGAAAGUUUUUUCGGUGUAGGGUGAGCUCGCGGCCUAUCAGCUUGCUGGUGGGGUAAUGGCCUACCAAGGCGGCGACGGGUAGCCGGCCUGAGAGGGUGGACGGCCACCUUGGGACUGAGGUGAGGCCCAGACUCCUACGGGAGGCAGCAGUGGGGAAGAUUGCACCAUGGGCGCAAGGCUGAUGCAGCGACGCCGCGUGGGGGAUGGCGGCCUUCGGGUUGUAAAAUCCUUUCGCUAGGGACGAAGCUUUUUGUGACGGUACCUAGAUAAGAAGCACCGGCUAACUACGUG